CUUUUGUGGACUGAAAAUGGACACUAGUGGCUGAUGAUCAGUAAUCGGUAUGGGAAUGCGGUGCAAAGGCUAUGGGGCAUUCACUUCCAUCACUCAUAACCUGUGACAUGACUGCACCUAUACCAUUAGAAGAAACAUGUGCUGUAGUUUUUAAAAACUUGAAUGCUUCACUGUGCUUCAACAGGGUUCUUUUGAAGAUCCUGACCUGGAGUUACACGCAGACUUCAGUUCUUUACGGGUAUGGGACCCGUUCUUGGGGUUUCAGGACCGGCCGUUGUUGUUCGGCACACCAAGGGUUUGGCCUGAGAGUCCAGCUCGAAUUCAAAAGCCUAAGAUCUCAGGGCUCUGGAGACGGGAGGAUCGAGGGUCGGUGUCAUGGCAGGGGACUUGUGUGUUGUUGGGGAGGCCGGAGAAUCUUUCGCUGUGGGCCUGAAGACCCGAGAUCUUUGCGAUCUUCAGGCACAGAGCUGGUAAAAAGUGACAAAACCGUCUUUUUAACAUCGUAAACCAGCGGGUUGUUGUUAUGUCUCCCGUUCGCUGUGAAAACGGGGGACACCUCCCUCUCUCUCUAUUAGGGAGAGAGAGAACCUGUGGUUUGUCAAAUGCUGGAUGAAAUGUGAUGGUUUUUGGGGUAAAUGCAUGGUCUAUGUCUUUGCUAUCGCCUAGCUCAUGCUUGUGCUCGGUAGCGGGUGCACUUUUUCUUUGCUGGGGGAGGGGGGAUCGCUGCUUGCUGCCGCUUACGCGCGGGAGUGGGGAGAGGGAGGACUUUGGGGUUCUCACAUGUAACU